rnacentral:rRNA from 1 species
GCAUAUCAAUAAGCGGAGGAAAAGAAACCAACAGGGAUUGCCUUAGUAACGGCGAGUGAAGCGGCAAAAGCUCAAAUUUGAAAUCGGCCCCCAGGUCGAGUUGUAAUUUGUAGAUUGUAUCUUGAGAGCGGAUUAAAGUCUGUUGGAACACAGCGCCUUAGAGGGUGACAGCCCCGUAAAAUCUAUUCUCAUUGUAAGAUACUUUCGAAGAGUCGAGUUGUUUGGGAAUGCAGCUCUAAGUGGGAGGUAAAUUCCUUCUAAAGCUAAAUAUUGACGAGAGACCGAUAGCGAACAAGUACUGUGAAGGAAAGAUGAAAAGCACUUUGAAAAGAGAGUGAAAAAGUACGUGAAAUUGUUAAAAGGGAAGGGUAUUGAAUCAGACUUGGUGCUGUUGUUCAACUGUGUUUCGGCAUAGUGUACUCAGCAGUACUAGGCCAAGGUGGGGUGUUUGGGAGUGAAAAAGAAGUUGGAAGGUAACUCUUCGGAGUGUUAUAGCCUACUUUCAUAGCUCCUCAGGCGCCUCAGGACUGCGCUCGGCAAGGACCUUGGCAUAAUGAUUCUAUACCGCCCGUCUUGAAACACGGACC